rnacentral:lncRNA from 1 species
GUGGAGAAAAGGAGGAGAAGCUAUGCUUGGUCGUGAGGUUGCAGGAGGCGGACAAUGGAGGCGGAGCGGCGCUGGGUGUGGAUAGGCAUAGAAGGUGGUGAUUUUUUUGAGCAGAUAGAAGGUGGUGAUUUGGUGUGUGUUGCUCUUGCUCUUUUUUAAUCAUUUGUUGUUGCUAGAUGCACAAACUGAAAGCUACCUAUUGCUAUGCGUGCUAGCACCACUCAUUAUAAAAAAA